AAUUAAUGAGCCUGUUAAAGCAUUUGUUUUGAAUACUUAUGAAAGAAUAAUUUUAUUCUAUUAAUUU
rnacentral:tRNA from 1 species